ACAAUUCCAGGAAGGUCCAUGGAAAAAAAGAAGGCAUCUUCCAUUUUUAUAUUGAUAUAAUUAACAUCCAGUAACAAAGGAGGGAGGACACAAGAUUGAUUUCUCCUUCACUUUUUUCACACAACAUAGGCACCAGAAGGUUUUGUUCUUCCUUUUAUUCUCCACUCAUCCUCAUGCAUACGACACUCCUCCACCCAUCUCUCACCCAUCUCACACCCAUCACUCAUUAUACACCCUCACAGAAGAUGAGAGAGAGGGGGACAAAUGCAAAUACAAGAGCUGAGGGGAACACACUAUUUCUUUUUCCUUUUUUUUUAUUUUGGGAUCUUUUUCUUCUUCGUGCACAGAAAGCACACGCAAAUAGGGGCUGAUGACCUUCAGCCCCUUUUUCUUUUAGGUAGAAGAUAAACACACGAAAAAGGGGACCCAUUUUUAUUUUCUUUUCCGUCAUUUCUGUUGGAUUUCGAUGUUGAGCUCGAAGAGCUUUUUCAGUUGAGGUCGUUCAUCGAGGUUCUUGAUUCUAGUUACCGGCUUGUCGUCAAUUUCAUUUUGCUCAACUAUGAAUCUGGUUCAUGGAUUGAAUUCAGAAUCACAUUCAUUCCAUUCGAGUUUGUGAAUUGAAAUCGAAAGCCACAUUAAGGUCUAUUCCUUUUCUCUUCCUUCACUAAUCUGUAAGUUAUUGAUACUCCGUGACUUGGAUCUGUGGUGUUUGAAUUUUGUUUUAGUUGAUUUGGACACAUUUGAAUCAUCAUAAAUGAUUGUUGAUAGCGAUCGAUUGAUUGGAUGAAUUAGAUAAUUAAAUGAAUCAGACUUAAUUUAGGGUGAAUCAUGAUUUUGGGAUGGUAUUAAAAAUUGUCUAAUCAAAAAUUUCAUUUUGUUUAUUCGGAUUGUUAAUUUUGAUUCAUGGAUGUUAUUAAAUACAAUAGUAUCAUGUUUAGGUCGACAAUUGAUAGACAAAUAUAAAUGGGUUAGGUAAAGUUUAUGACUUGCGAUCGUUAAAUAAUGAAAGUGUUUUGUUGAAAUGCGUUGGUUUAUAUUUUUGGAUUGAAGUGUAUUCAUUUGGCUGGGGAAUGUCCCGACGUACUAUGUUGGCAGAAGACAUUCGUGAGAAAGGACCGAGGCGUCGGGUAAAGCCGGAGACCGUAGUUAGGAUUAGUAUAGGUUAAAUAGGAUUUAUUUUCCCUUUUUUAUUUAUUUUUGGGACUGUAUAAUUGGACUGAACACUAUACUUUUAUUCGUUUUGUUUGGUUUGUUGGUUUGAUUGCUUUACGUGCUUCUUUGUGGUUUGUACAUUCGGAGUGUCAAAAUUAGCCGAUACGUUCCAUCAAGCGACCGUGGUCGAACCACGAGAUCGAGGGGUCCUAACACCUUCCCCUUGGUCAACAGAAUUUCUUAGCCAAAAUCUCUGUUUGCAAGCUAGUUUAAAGAGUCAAAUUAUUUUGAAAAGGAUUUUUCAAAGGUGACUUGGCACACCGGAUUAUGCCAAGUGGCGACUCUGUGCUUUGAAUGUAAAAAAAAAAAUUCUUUUUUUGGAAUGAAUCUUCAUUUUGUCACUUUAAUAAUAAAAACCCUUUCAAACCUUAAAACGAAUCUUUUGGUCAGAAAAAGGGGUGUGACACCUAUUCAGGGCAACAAAGGUACAAUAUAAAGUUUGGUUAUUAUCGUAUUAAAAAUCUUGAAGCAUUUAUAGCUUCCAACAAUUAGGAUUCACUUUGUUUCGUAACUAACAUUCAGUUAAAGUUUAAAGAUUCUUGUAAACUAAAAUGCAUUGCGUAGGUUUAUCGUAUUAUAAACUAUUUCUAUUUUAUAAGUAUUUUCUUAUUGGUUAAACCUAAAACCGAACCUUUAAGGAACAAAAAUUGAUAAACCAGAACCGAUGAGAAAAUAUCUUAUUGGUUGGUUAUUGGUUUUACAUAUUUAAAACUCAAAAACCGAUAAAUCGAAUUAAUAACACGUAAAACCGAAUCGAACCAAAUCGAUCGAUGCACACCCCUAGCCUAGUAUGGGCCGACGGGGCUAUUUCGAUGGUUAAAUGGGCAAAACAAUGCGAAUGGGCAAUUUUUGGGCAAAAUUGGUUUUUAUAGCCUAAGGUUCAGGGGUAGGCCCGAGGCCUGGGCGUAUUUUGGGCAAAAAUCAAUUGGGGGACUUCAAGAAGACUCUAGAGUGGCCUAGUAUGGGUUGGAGGAGUUGGUGGGGCUAUUUGGGUGGUCAAAAGGGUGAAACAGCGUGAACAGACAUUUUUGAGCUAAAUCGUUGUGCUAAAUCCCACGGUUCCUUGGGUGGGCCCAGGGCAUAGUGUGUUUUAGGACAAAAAUUGAUGAGAGACAUCUAAGCAGGCUGAGGUGUGACCUAGUGUCAACCGACGAGGUCUAUGGGGCCAUUUGGGUGGUCAAACGGUCAAAACGGCGUGACCGAGCCAUUUUAGCACAAAAUUGGUGUGCUAUAGCCCAUGGUUUCAGGGGUGGUCCUAGGGCUCGGGCAUAUUUUAGACUGAAAAUCAACUAGGCCCCUCAUGCAAGCGAGGAGCAGCAUAGUAUGGGUCGGCAGAGCCAUUUGGGUGGUCAAAUGGGCAGAACGAUGCAAACAGACCAUUUUCGAGAUAAAUCAGUACUCUGUAACCCACGGUUUAAGGGGUGAGCCCGGGGUACAUACGUAUUUUAGGCUGAAAAUAGAUUGGGCCCCCCAAGCAGGCUGGGGAGUGACAUAGUAUAGGCCGGCGGAGCCAUUUGGGUAGUCAGAUGGGCGAAACAACAUGAACGGGCCAUUUUCAGGCCAAAUCGGUGUGCUAUAGCCCACGGUUCUGAGGUUGGGCCCAAAGCGCGGGUGUGUUUUGGGCUAAAAAUUGAUCUGGAUCCCCCAAGUAGGCUGAGGAGCAGCCUAGUAUUGGGCAGUAGGGCUAUUUGGAUUGUCAAACGAGUGAAACGGCGCAAACGAACCAUUUUUGGGCAAAAUCGGUGUGCUAUAGCCAACAGUUUAGGAGGUGGACCCAGAGAUCGGAGGUGUUUGGAUCGAUCGAGGGCCCCCAGAUAGUCUGAGAAGUGACCUAGUAUGGGUCAGCGGGGCCAUUUGAGUGGUCAAAAGAGCAAAACGACGUAAACAAACCAAUUUUGGGCCAAAUCGGUGUGCUAUAGCCCAUGGUUACGGGGGUGGGCUUGGGGCUUGAGUGUAUCUUUUGCUAAAAAUUGAUGGGGUACUCUCAAAAUAUCUGAGGAAUGACCUAGUGUGGGACGACGGGGUCGAAGGGGUUAUUUUGGUAGUCAAACGGGCAAAAUGGCAUGAACGGACCAUUUUUGAGCCAAAUCAGUGUGUUAUAGCCCACAGGUCGGGGGGAGGGGGUCUCUGAUGUAUUUUUCAUCGAAAAUCAAUCGGAGCCCCCCAAGAAGGUUGAGGAGCAGCCUAGUGUGUGUCGGUGGGGCCAUUUGGGUGGUCAAACGAGCAAAAUGGCACGAACGAACCAUUUUUGGACCAAAUCGGUGUGCUAUAACCCAUGGUUUCAAAGGUAGGCUCGAGGCCCGAAUAUUUUUUGGUCGAAAGUCAAUCGAGGGUCCUAAGGCAGGCUGAGAAUCGCCCUAGUAUGGGCCGACUGGGUCGGCGCGACCAUUUGGGUGGUCAAACGGGCGAAACGACCUGAACAGGUCAUUUUUAGUCAAAUCGGUGUGCUAUAUAUCCCACGGUUUCGAGGGUGGACCCAGUACCCGAGCACGUUUUGGGCAAAAAAUUGAUCGGAUCCCCCAAGCAGGCUGAAAAGUGGCCUAAUAUUGGUCGGUGUGGUUAGCGGGGACAUUUGAGUGGUUAAACGGGUGAAAUGGCGCAAACGGAUUAUUUUUUAGCUAAAUCAGUAUGCUAUAGCCCACGGUUCUAGGGGCAGACCCAGGGUCCGAGCGUGUUUUGGGAUGAAAAUAAACUGGACCACCCAGGCAGGCUAAGGAGCGGCCUAGUGUGGGCUGAUGGGGUCGGCGGGGCCAUUUGGAUGGUCAAAUAGGCAAAAUGGAACGAACGAGUUAGUUUUGGGCCAAAUCGGUGCGCUAUAGCCUAAGUUUCUGGAGGUUGUCCCGGGGCACAGGCUUGUUAUGGGCCAAAAAUCAUUCGAUGGCCCCCAAGCAGGCUGAGGGGCGGCCUAGUGUGGGCCAGUGGGGUCGAUGGGGCCAUUUGGAUGGACAAACGGUUGAAACAACACGAGUGAGCCAUUUGGGGCCAAAUAGGUGUGUUAUAACCCGCGGUUCCGAUGGUGGGUCUGGGGCUGGGGUGUGUUUUUGGCCAUAAAUCAACUGGGGGCUCCCAGACAAGCUGAGGAGUGGCCUAGUGUGGGUCGGCGGGGCCAUUUGUGUGGUCAAGUGGGCGAAACGGCGAGAAUAGGCUUUUUUAGGCUAAAUCGGUCUGCUAUAGCUUAUGGUUCCGGAGGAGGGCCCGAGGCUCGGGCGUGUUUUAGGCAAAAAAAAUUGAUUGGGGGCCUCAGACAAGCUGAGAAAUGGCCUAAUCUGGGCCGACGAGGUCGGUGGGGCCAUUUGGGUGGCCAAAUAGGCAAAAUAGCCUGAACGGACAAUUUUUGGGCCAAAUCGUAUGCUAUAGCCUACGGUUCCGAGGGUGGCCUAGGGCCCGGGCGUGCUUAAGGCCAAAAAUUGAUUUGGGCCCCAAGACAAGCUGAGGAGCAGCCAAGUGUUAGUCGGGGAGGUCGGCAGAGCCAUAUAUAUAUAUAUGGGCUUGGGAUACUUAAACAAACUUGUUCAUAAAACCCACAAUCUUGGCUGCACAUAAUAAACUAUUCUGUUCGCUUCAACCUAUGUGAAAGUGUCUAAUUUGGCAUACAAUUGAAAACAACUAAAGACUUUAAAAAUUUGUGUUUAAAAUACUCGCAAUCGAUACGAAGUUGAGGCCGAUCAUGAACGCUAUUGGCCCAACUCAAUAGGGACAAUAUAACCCCCACUUCAAGCGCACCUCCAUAUUGACUGUGAACCAUGUGAGCGCAAAAAAUUCUAUAGCUAAAGAGAAUUUUGAAGUUAAAUUGCUACUUCCUUCGUUUUCAUUUUAGCAAAUCAAGAGAUUUCCGUUCUGAAUAUUAUCUUCAUUAUUAAAGUUAAAUUUAAAAGUAGCUAAAAAUGGAAAGAAACAGCCUUCUUUAAACGGACAAAAGAAGAAAGUAAGACGAACAAAUUGAAAUAGUGAUAAUUUCAAACACUUGCAUUAAGCAAACUCUUAAAAUAGAUUACAAAGUAGAACUCAAGAUCUAUGACUCCAUUUUUUUUAACAUUCCAAUUAGGGAUACAAAGAAAAAGAAGAUUGAAUUUUCUUCUUCUCGUUCCCAUCUCUUUCCAUUACAUACUUAAUUUAGUCACUUGACUGACUGACUUUCUAAUAGCAUUUCCUGUCACUUUCUAUUCACUGUCAGAAUUCAUAUUCUCCUGUUCACCUGGUUGAUAGAUCAUUACUUUUGCAUUUGUCAUAUAAUACCUCUUCUUUUGUUGUCAGGGUUAAGAGAGACGCAUAAAUUUGAACCAUAUUUGUAGUACGAUUUUUUUUUUCAAUAUUUAAAAUUUUUCCUUAUUUUAAAAGUCAAAUCCUU
rnacentral:lncRNA from 1 species